ACUAUAAUCCAUGGACCAAUAUUGGACAAUUCUCAAACUCCGCCAUAGGGAUACUCUUUGCUGGAUGGAAUACAGGCCAUAGACAAAGGUGAUGUAGCUAGCAAAUGUGGAGUUCUUGUCUGUCACCCGGCAGUGAAUCAUUUGGUCAGUGGUUUCUAGAGUUACAACAUGGAUAUUUGACAAUUUCCACAUUAUCCAUAUCCUCCCAUUAGGUGCACAAGCAUAGUUAUUUUCAAUGUUCCAUUCACCUCCCAGUUUCUUGUAGAUUGUCUGUGAAUGUGGCUGUUUCACUCUAGUUUCUAGACAAGCUACCAUGCCUACUUUAUUUGUCCUCAAGAACUUUACUAGCUCUCUCUGUUAGUAGGACUUGUUCAGUCCUCUAAUGUUCCAGGAGACAAUGAUCAUGGAUGAUAUUGGUUGCUUGAGAUUCCCCUUUAUCCUUAAUGGAUGUCUGUCUUCUACUUUCUCUCUGUUGUUGGUUCCAUUCGAUGGUUCCUUUAUAAUUAAUGCAGUAGAUGUAUUCUUGGUAGUCAACUCAGCAUAGUUUAUCUCCCCUUUGUCAAUAGUCUCAUUAGCUCCUUUUACAGUUGCUACUUGUUUGCCUCGAUUGUUCACUGAUAGUUCCACCUCAGGUUGAACUAUUUGUUCCUAAUGCUGUUGAUUGGCUAUAAUAUCCUCAGCUACCUGUUUGCCUCGAUUGUUCACUGGUAGUUCCACCUCAGGUUGAACUGUUUGUUCCUCAUGUUGUUGAUUGGCCAUAAUCUCCUCCAUUACAAGUUUUGGUUGCCAUUUCAUUUUGGUCUUAUUCUUGAUCCUUUUUCUCUGAUUCUGUGGCCUUUGAGCCUGUUGCUCCUCCUGCAGACAUUCCCCAUUUUUAUGCCCAAAUGAGUUACAUUCUAGACAGAAUGUUGGUUUCCAUUCAAACUCCACUGGCUGCAGCCAGCUUCUUUCAUCUGGUAUCUCAAUAUAGACUUCAUCAGGUAAGGGUUGGGUUAUGUCCAUUUCCACAAAGACUCUAGCAAAGGAAAUCCUUUCACAAGCAGCAGUAAGCCUGUCAGUGCAUAAAGGCUUCCCAAUUAAACUAGUUAUUCUCCCUAAGUUCUCUUAUGCCCAGCUUUGAAUUGGAGGUUAUGUCCAUUUCCACAGGGACUCUAGCAAAGAAAAUCCUUUCACAAGCAGCAGUAAGCCUAUCAGUGCACAAAGGCUUCCCAAUUAAACUAGCUAUUCUCCCUAAGUUUUCUUCUGCCCAGCAUUGAAUUGGCAAGCCAGGAAAGUUGAUCCAAAUUGGUACAAUUCGCAUUGACUCAUUCUGGAUCUGAAAAUUUGGAUCCCAGUCCUUCAAUAUC
rnacentral:lncRNA from 1 species